UAGCGUAGGGGGCUAGCGUUGUCCGGAAUCAUUGGGCGUAAAGAGCGUGUAGGCGGUCCGGUAAGUCCGCUGUGAAAGUCGGGGGCUCAACCCUCGAAUGCCGGUGGAUACUGUCGGGCUAGAGUGCGGAAGAGGCGAGUGGAAUUCCUGGUGUAGCGGUGAAAUGCGCAGAUAUCAGGAGGAACACCUAUUGCGAAGGCGGAUCUCUGGGCCAUAACUGACGCUGAGGAGCGAAAGCAUGGGGAGCGAACAGG
rnacentral:rRNA from 1 species